rnacentral:rRNA from 1 species
AUUGAACGCUGGCGGCAUGCCUUACACAUGCCAGUCGAACGGUAACGGGCCUUCGGGUGCCGACGAGUGGCGAACGGGUGAGUAAUACAUCGGAACGUGCCCGAUCGUGGGGGGUAACGAGGCGAAAGCUUUGCUAAUACCGCAUACGAUCUACGGAUGAAAGCAGGGGACCGCAAGGCCUUGCGCGGACGGAGCGGCCGAUGGCAGAUUAGGUAGUUGGUGGGAUAAAAGCUUACCAAGCCGACGAUCUGUAGCUGGUCGGAGAGGAUGAUCAGCCACACUGGGACUGAGACACGGCCCAGACUCCUACGGGAGGCAGCAGUGGGGAAUGUUGGACAAUGGGCGCAAGCCUGAUCCAGCCAUGCCGCGUGCAGGAUGAAGGCCUUCGGGUUGUAAACUGCUUUUGUACGGAACGAAAAGCCUUCUUUUAAUACAGGAGGGUCAUGACGGUACCGUAAGAAUAAGCACCGGCUAACUACGUG